AUUUCCCCUCUGCCCCGACUAAAAAAUCCCCUCUACGCCGCCCGGCGCAUGACCGCCCGAUUCAGCGCCUCCCGCUGGAGACCGCCCGCCUCCGACGAGGGCCACGCCGGUGAUCUCCCCUCAGCCCGCCUGCCCCCUCCUUUCAUCUCCGUUCUACUCCUUCUCUCUCGGCCCCAUCGAGCUCGCCUCGAUCCAUGGCCCCUCCUUAAACCUAGCUCCGGUCUCGGCCACGACCGGCCUCGCAGAUCUCGGCCGCCAUCCCCUACGCCUCCCCCCGCGUCUCCCUCACCUCGCCCGUGCAGCACCGUAGCUGCACGUCGCCUGCGCCAUCUGCUGCUGCCCCGCUCUAAACCACUUGCAUGCCAUGGGCAGCGGCCAUGGAGGACACACCUCCGCCUGCUCACUCGCCGCUGGCCAGCCAGUACCUCCACCAACAUCUCAUCCAUCUAGAUCAGUGGCCCUUUAAUUUUAGCGGAUUUUCUUCUUCUUUACAGCAUGCUAAUUAGCUAGGAUAUAGUCUUGAUUUCAAUUAUUGCAGAAUGGCAAUCUGCUUUAUGUUGGCUUUAUCAUCUCAGGAUAAUCCAGAUGUUCUCAUAUGCCUUGAGGAGUUGUCGGUGGAUUAUAUGCAGAGGCUACCAAGUGGUAGCUCCAAUGUUGCAAGAGGUCAGUAAUGGGUGCUUCUUCUGGGAUGGCUAACCUGAGAUACCAACGCUGAAGGAUCUGAAUUUUCAAGCUCAGCAAGGCCUGCAUGUUGCAGUCUGUGGGACGGCCGGCUCUGGAAAAUCAAGUUUGCUCUCUUGAAUGGUAUGGUUCCAAAGCUAUUAGGAGAGGCCAAGACUUGCGGAACAAUGCCAUAUGUCAGCCAGACUGCAUGGAUACAAAGCGACAAAAUUCAGGACAACAUACUGCUCGGCAAGACCAUGGAGAGGGAGAAGUAUGGCAGGGUCCUUGAGUGGUGUUCGCUAAAGAAAGACUUGGAGAUCAGAAAUCAUUGGAGAGUGAGUCUGCACUCUUAGUGCCUGGCAGAAGCAAAGGACUCGGAUAGCCCGAGCAUUGUAUCAGUAUGCUGACAUCUAUUUAUUCCAUGAUCCGUUCAACGCAGUUGACAUACAGGAUCCCAAUUUUUCAAGAUCGAUGGUUUCGUCGCGGUCGGCAGGAGAAAUAUCAUCAAUGGUACGGAAAAAGGCAGGUAGGCUGAGGCGGGCGCCCACACCGAGCAGCCGAUCCAGGAAACCAGCCCUGCGGCACCCCCUCGUGCCACUCCCCAUCUCUAUGUUUGUGUCAGGCCUAGCGCAAGGUAUUGGUAGAAGAGGAGGCCGGAAAGAGAAGCUGCAUGGUAGGAGGCUUUUGAUCUGAAGGCAAGUUGGAUGAUCUGCUGACAAAGAAACACCUCUAUUCUGAAUUUCUACUUGAAACAAUUGAUCAGAUCACAAAUGUACCUUGGUUAUGUCUCUCACUGUGUGCUGAACAAUGUUUUGCCUAUUUUCAUCUUGGUUGCUGACAUUGUUGGUGUUAUCUGUCAAAGAAAGUUGUUGAAGUGAAAGAUGAAGAUGAACCCGUAGAAGAGCUGAAAAAAGGACGUGGUAGAAAAAAGGAAGCGAAGCCUAAACAGUAUAAUGAUGUUUUAGUGUCUGGAUCUUCAAUACGAAACAGAGUCGACGGUAUAUGUCAAUUCUGUAUUGGUUCUAGGCAAGUAGGUUGACAUGUUCAUCUGUUAUCAUGAGUGUCGUGUUUACACUUGCAGUUCAGAUAUUACGCUUAAGCUAAAGGUCUGAUUGUACUGUCUAGAGGUGGAAUGGCUAAGCUCUCUUUAUGGUCCUUUUUGCUGAAUAUCUUGCAAAUGGCACACUAAAGUGCAGGAAAUUAUUAGGUGUGUGGGUAUCAAUCCAGUAUGUUCUUAUGUCUAUGGAUCCGGGAAAUGUUGACGCUUUAUUGGUUUUGGUCAACAAAAUUUUAGGUGUACAUGCUUUCAUCUUGAAUAUAUGUAGUUCUUAAGUAAUACUACUUCUCGGUUAGUUCAUUGAAGUAAUGAUACAAUCAAUUGGAUGUUUCUCUACGGUUAUGCAUCUAGCGGGAAAAUUGUUGUUUUCACAUAAUUGUUUUUCACCAUAGUUCAUUGUCAGCAUCUUUAUUCUCCUAAUACAGUCAUAUUGUCCAUAUAAGUGCAGCUUUUAGUUCGUAAAAGUACUAUAUACUUUUCCCAAUUGAUUUCACUAGAUUCCCUGUUUUUACAGUAAGGAUUAAACCCGUUGCAAUUUUUUGUAGUCUUGUGCUGAACACAGUUUAUAUAAAGAAAAAGAAUUUAAUCUUUCUGUUUCUUCCAUGACGAUAAAACUGAAUAUGUUUGGACAUGGGUGUCACACAAGGAAUGACGAGUUCAUGUCAAGCACCUACGACUCAGUCAUCAACAAGUCGCUAAUAAUGCAUACUUGGUUUAACUAAUUAAAGUAACAAACACAGACACCAACCCACGGGUGCACCACAAGGCGGAAUCUCGGCGUUGACGGGAAAGAGGCUGUGGUGGAUCGGCGUUGCUGGGAAUAGGUUUGGUCGUGUCAGGUGUGGGCUUGCGGCAAGCCUCUCCUGCCUCCUGCCCUGGCAUUGGGUGGUAGACAGAAGAGGGGUAACUAAACAAAGAAUAUAUGAAAUUGCGAAAUGCCCUUUUCUCCCAUUGCAAAAUUAUUUUGUUUCUCCCGUUACGCACGGGUACACUGUUGCAAAAUGCAGGAAUAUUUUGGUUGUUCAAAUUCAUUCUUUGCUCCGUAAGUAAACCAAUUAUACAUGGGUUAGGUUAUGCCAUGCAAACUUGAUACCAUUGGGUUUGUGUUCAAAGUAAUUUAUUGUGAUUGUAAUUUGUAACUACGAACAUAUCCCCUACAUUUUGCCACUGGGUGGGUAUGUUCUGUAGAUCUGUAGAAAUCAGAGGAGCAAUAUCAUCUUGGUUCUGUAACAAGAAAUAACCGUCUGCCAACUGAAACUCUUAAGAGCAGAGUGUGCAGGGUGUAAUAGUAAUCAAAUUAAAUACUAAACAUUAUAUGUGCCGAAUUCAUGUAUCAGUAAUUCUACUGGUGCUGGGAUGGUAAUGGAUAAUGGAUUGAUUAGAUUAGUAGCGCAUCUCGCAAAAAAAAAAAUCCGCAACUAACUUUCACAGAACUGAAAGAUCACUUGUACUCCCUCCGUAAACUAAUAUAAGGGUUUUUAGAUCACUACUUAUUAGUUUAUAAAGGGAGUAGCAAAGAAAGAUCCCACAGAACAAUCGAUCCAAAUUCAGGAAAGAUAGAGCUCCUUACCAACGCCAGAAGAGAUCGUCCGGUUCCCGAGGUGGGUCCACUCUAGAGGAGGGCGGUGGUGACCAGGAGAGGACAACUCGGUGGAAGGGAGCGUGCACGUGUGUCCGCCGGCGCGGUCACGCGGAUGGACAGGCGGGGGUGCCCAUGGGGCGAGCAGGGCGCGGAGGCCCCCCUGCCGGAGAGGUUCCCGGAGGACGGAGUAGCGUGUUCUGGAGUGGGAGAGGAGGGACAGGACUACAGGAGCGCCAUGAGGGAUGGGAAUUCUAACAUGGGCGUCAACAAGCUCAGCUACAAGAAGCGACGUCGCGUUUGACUGACAGUACAGUUCGGACAUACUUCAUUUUUAUCUGUUUGGAACGCCACAACUUUUUUUUCAAAACGGGGGCAAAAGACCUCAUCGAUUAAUUAACAAGAGAAUUGUCCAGUUAAUCAACGAACAAUCGGACGAAAACCGUUACAAACCAAUCACAACAUUUUAUACUAUUGGCAGUUUAUCUAUACCGCUACAGCUACUGAAGGGUAGUGGAUUUGAAGGUUGCUAUAUCUUGAGUUGUCCCUUAUCUUACUAAAUUCAGGAUUCAACUCAGGAGAGUGUACAAAACAUGCAGGUCUGUAUUGUUUCCGGUGUGUGUUGGUCAUGCAUCAGGUAUCACUCAGUUUCAAGGAAUUUCAAGAGGGCAUGUCAGCUUCUCCUAUUUGAUG